rnacentral:rRNA from 1 species
AACGAACGCUGGCGGCGCGCCUAAUACAUGCAAGUCGAGCGAGAAGACGUAGCAAUACGUUUGUAAAGCGGCGAACGGGUGAGGAAUACAUGGGUAACCUACCCUCGAGUGGGGAAUAACUAGCCGAAAGGUUAGCUAAUACCGCGUACGCUCCUUGGACUUCGGUUCAGGGAGGAAAGCGAUACCGUGGGUAUCGCGCUCUUGGAUGGGGCUCAUGUCCUAUCAGCUUGUUGGUGAGGAACGGCUCACCAAGGCUUCGACGGGUAGCUGGUCUGAGAGGACGAUCAGCCACACUGGCACUGCGACACGGGCCAGACUCCGUACGGGAGCAGCAGUAAGGAAUAUUGCGCAAUGGGCGAAAGCCUGACGCAGCGACGCCGCGUGGGGGAUGAAGGUCUUCGGAUUGUAAACCCCUUUCGGGAGGGAAGAUGGAACGAGCAAUCGUUCGGACGGUACCUCCAGAAGCAGCCACGGCUAAC